GGGGGGUAGCAGCUUUAAUAUUGCGGGGAGAUUGUUACUUCCAUCAAUGUAAUUGUCUGCAUCAUUUCCAAACCCUGCUUUACUGACAUUACCAGAUACUGCAAACCAACAAAUAGAGAAAUACGUCUUCUGAUUGGCCAAGUGCACGGUUCUGACUGGUGGCUGACCUGUCUAUACUGUGCCCCUCUCUCUCCGCCCAUUGCUCGCUAUGACACAUGUGAGCGUGGAAAGGAAUCAGGUCAGUAGUGGUAGUACAGGUCAGUAGUGCAGGUCAGUAGUGGUAGUACAGGUCAGUAGUAGUAGUGCAGGUCAGUAGUGGUAGUACAGGUCAGUAGUACAGGUCAGUAGUACAGGUCAGUAGUGGCAGUACAGGUCAGUAGUACAGGUCAGUAGUACAGGUCAGUAGUACAGGUCAGUAGUGGUAGUACAGGUCAGUAGUACAGGUCAGUAGUACAGGUCAGUAGUGGUAGUACAGGUCAGUAGUACAGGUCAGUAGUAGUUGUGCAGGUCAGUAGUACAGGUCAGUAGUGCAGGUCAGUAGUGCAGGUCAGUAGUGGUAGUACAGGUCAGUAGUACAGGUCAGUAGUGGUAGUACAGGUCAGUAGUGCAGGUCAGUAGUACAGGUCAGUAGUACAGGUCAGUAGUACAGGUCAGUAGUGGUAGUACAGGUCAUUAGUACAGGUCAGCAGUACAGGUC
ensembl:lncRNA